UAGAAAACGGCAAAACAACAACGACGUGCGUAUUAUUUACAACAUACCUCCAGCAAUAUUAGGUGCCUGUGUGCAGUAUUGGUUAUCCCACAUGGAGGCAACCAAUUCUCUAAGCUGAUGUGUCUAACUUCUCAGUAUUCACAAGUGGCGGAGCUGUGCAAACAUGUCCUUGGAGGGUUCAACAUUGACUGAUACAGGGGGUAGUCACUUUAUUGUUUUUCACCUAUUCAUCCAUAUUGUUUGUGCUUCAUUUUUGCUUGUUACUUAGUUUGUAAGGUUGUUUGCCUUGUAAGAACAUCUUAUCUUAAUCAAUACCCAUCCUAAAAUCGUACACUCUAUUGUAGUAAUUUUUAAAUUGAUGUAUUGUUGUUAUAGAUUACAUCUAUAUUUUGUUCUGGUCAAACGAAAACUUCCUGUGUAUUUCACACUUGUACCUGUAAUGUGCUGUCAAAUAUGUCAAUUCACUGGAAACAACCUCAACAUUCUUGAAAUAAGUAUUAAGUUAUGUUACAAAAUUACCACUACACAUUGCUUUCAAAUUCAGUUGCAUAAAGGUCAGAGGUGUGUCAACCACCUGGCAAUAAUCACUUGUCAUUUCUCACUUUGUAAUGUGCUGCCAUGAGCAGUUAUCUGCUGUAAAUUUCAGUCACAAACAAUAAAAUUUACCCCAAGUUCAUUUAUAUCAAAUUCAAUAUGUGGUACAAGCUUUCUGUAACAUUGAUAUUGGCCUCGGUUUUGGUGUGCAUGUAGUAGGACCAUACAUUGUGCACUCUCAACAAAUGUGCUGUGAAGUUCAGACUGUCAACUCAGAAGUCUCGUCGAUGCACAUUGUCAAAAAUUCAGGCUUGUUUGUACACUAUAGUUUUUUUUUUGUAUGUAUAAUUCAAUUUUAUUUAUUUAUUUGAUUGAUGUUUUACGCCGUACUCAGGAGUAUUUCACUUAUACGAUGGCGGCCAGCACUAUGGAGGGAGGAAACCAGGCAGAGAACGGGGGAAGCCCACGACCAUCUGCAGGUUGCUGGAAGACCUUCCCACUUACAGCCGGAGAGGAAGCCAGCAUGAGCUGGACUUGAACUCACAGCGACCUCAUUGGUUAUCCCACAUGGAGCCAACCAAUUCUCUAAGCUGAUGUGUCUAACUUCUCAGUAUUCACAAGUGGCGGAGCUGUGCAAACAUGUCCUUGGAGGGUUCAACAUUGACUGAUACAGGGGAAGAGAAGCUGCACUCAGCACAGACAAGCCUCUCUGAGACGCACACACCCCGAGGCACCUCGCUGUCCAGAUCCCCGUUCAGCCCUUUAGG